UUUCCUGUGGCUCAGUUGGCAGAGCAUUGCACUUGCAACACAAAGGUAAGGUUCAAAUCCCACGGAAA